rnacentral:rRNA from 1 species
AGAAGUCAGUAGCGGCGAGUGAAGCGGCAAAAGCUCAAAUUUGAAAUCUGGCGUCUUUGGCGUCCGAGUUGUAAUUUGAAGAAGGUAUCUUUGGGCCCGGCUCUUGUCUAUGUUCCUUGGAACAGGACGUCACAGAGGGUGAGAAUCCCGUGCGAUGAGAUGACCCGGGUCUGUGUAAAGUUCCUUCGACGAGUCGAGUUGUUUGGGAAUGCAGCUCUAAGUGGGUGGUAAAUUCCAUCUAAAGCUAAAUAUUGGCGAGAGACCGAUAGCGAACAAGUACAGUGAUGGAAAGAUGAAAAGAACUUUGAAAAGAGAGUGAAAAAGUACGUGAAAUUGUUGAAAGGGAAGGGCUUGAGAUCAGACUUGGUAUUUUGCAUGCUGCUCUCUCGGGGGCGGCCGCUGCGGUUUACCGGGCCAGCAUCGGUUUGGAGCGGCAGGAUAAUGGCGGAGGAAUGUGGCACGGCUUCUGCUGUGUGUUAUAGCCUCUGACGAUGCUGCCAGCCUAGACCGAGGACUGCGGUUUUUAACCUAGGAUGUUGGCAUAAUGAUCUUAAGUCGCCCGUCUAAAAAAUGGAACACAAAGU